CAGAACCUGUACGUUGUACUUGAAGAUCUUCGAGUUGUACAAAUACAGUGAGCUCCAAAAGUAUUGGGACAGUGACAAUUUGUUUUGUUUGUUUUGGCUCUAUACUCCAGCUCUUUGGAUGAAAUGAUAAUGACUAUGGAGGAUAAAGUGCAGACUCAGCUUCAUUUGAAGGACAAUGGCCCCCAAGAAGCCCGAGCCGAAGAAGGAGGCGGCAAAAAUGAACCCACCAGCUCUGGAGCCAGAGGCCCCAAAAGCAUUGCGAUCUUCAAGUCCAAAAACCGGGGUACCUUUGAGGAAUUUGUAGAAGGACUGCUUGUCUUUGACAAGGAGAGCAACAGCACCGUCAUGGGCGCCGAGUUGCAUCACACACUCGCAACUCUUGAUAGAGAGGAUGAAAGAGAAGGAGGUCGAGGUAGUGAUGGAAGGACAAGAGGACGGCAAUGGCUACAUUAACUACGAAGCCUUUGAAACACAUCAUGGCUGGGUGAAUGAUCAAAAUUCAAGAUGUCGCUGACCUGAAUCUUUCUUUUGUUCCUCUCCCCUUUUGUUCAAAUCUUUGUCCUCAAUGUGUGUGACUCAUUCUGUCUAUGUGUGUGUGAGCGGAUGUGUGUGUCACAACAUUUUUAACAAUGAAAAUAAAUGUUCAGGGUCAAACAUCUAG